UACGGAGGAUCCAAGGCGUUAUCCGGAAUCAUUGGUUUAAAGGGUCCGGUAGGCGGUUUGGUAAGUCAGUGGUGAAAGCCCAUCGCUCAACGGUGGAACGGCCAUUGAUACUGCCAGACUUGAAUUAUUAGGAAGUAACUAGAAUAUGUAGUGUAGCGGUGAAAUGCUUAGAGAUUACAAUGGAAUACCAAUUGCGUAAGGCAGGUUACUACUAAUGGAUUGACGCUGAUGGACGAAAGCGUGGGUAGCGAACAGGAUUGAGAA
rnacentral:rRNA from 1 species